CGGAUCCCUCAUUGCUGUGGCUGUGGUGUAGGCUGGCGGCUACAGCUCCAGUUGGACCCCUCACCUGGGACCCUCCGUAUGCCUUGGGUGCGGCCUUAAAAAGCAAAACAAAAAAAUGUGGCGUAUAUUAAGUAUAUCAAGGCCCUGCUGUGUUGUCAACCUUUUACGCUGAUCUGAUCUAAUCCUCAAAACAAGUCUAAGAGGGAAAAGCUUCUGUCACCCUGCUUCAUGGAGGAGGAAAUGAAGGAGGUGAGGGGUUGAGUGAGUUACCUCCGGGGACGCAUCUGGGAAGGUGGGGUCAGCAGGUUUCAAAGGCCGUCGUUGGGCUCCGAGCCAGGCCGUGUGACCGACAUGGACUAAUCUACAGCCGGAAACCCUCUUUCCAUUUUCUCACGUCCUAUUCAUUCUUCAGCCCAUUUCCACCGCUCCACCCAGCUUCCUGAGGUGGUCACUCGUGGCUCCAUUCUGCAAACUCCAGUGGCCACUCAGUCCUUUUCUCAUUUUGAGCUCUCGGUCGCUGUCACCAGAGAUGACCUCUGCCCCCUUCUCCCCGAAAACCCUCCGGUGUUCUCUGCACACCUCCUCGUUUCCUCCGUGCAUCUCAGUUUUGUUUUCAGUAGGAGAUUUAGCAGCGUCAAACACACGUGCCACACGCCUGCCCUCCUUUCUCAACAGCGGCUGUUGGACUUGCUCCCGGCCCAUCUGAAGUCCCCUUGUCUUGCCCUCUGGGACCCUCACCCUGGGCAGCCUCCCCGCCUGUCGCCCAGGGUGUGGGUACACGAUGCUUCGAUAAUUAGUGACGCCCGGUAGAUAUUUGCAGCCAGAUCUCUCGAGUGUUGGGGCGCCUGUUGGAUGUCUCUGCCUGAGCCGCUCCCCGUCUCUCUGCUCUGUCGUCCCCCCGCCCCGCUUCAGUAGUACCACGUCCCCUGGUACCACGUCCCCUGGUUGUUUGAUUUGUUUUGUAGUUUAACACAAAUGACGUUUGGCUCUGGCUCGCUCCCUCUCCCGCAUGCACGUUUGCAGUCCUCUCACUGUCACCUGCUAAGUACCCACGUGUCUCUGUCACUUCUGUCCUCGCUCCAGGCCAGGCCAUCGUCAUCUUUCUCUUGACUAUUAAACAGUCUGACCUCUCCAGCACCUACUCGGGCCCCUCCCGUCAGCUUCAGCUGCAGUCAGACACAGUUUCUAAGAACAUGGACCUAGGAGCUCCCACUGUGGCACAACGGGACUGGCAGCAUCUCGAGCACUGGGACGCAGACUCGCUCCCCGGCCCUGCGUAGCAGGUUAAGCGUCUGGCGUUGCCACAGCUACGGCUUCAGUCUGAUCUGAUCCCCGGCUCGGGAACGCCGUUUGCCACGGGGAGGCCAAAAACCAGAUAAACAAACCCUGUUCCCUAAUCUUGUCACUUCCACGUUUAAAAGCCUCUCUGACUUUCCUCUGCCUUUAGGCCGGAGCCGAGACUUCUUGCUCUGUUCCCGGACGUGCCGCACUGGCUCCUCCCUCUGCCGCCUCCGUGCCGUCUAGACGUCACACGGGCUGUUCCCUCACCCUGGGUUCUUCCCUGUCCUCUUGGCCACCUGCUCGUUUUCUCCAGGUCUCAGCCUAAAUGUCACUUCCUUGGGAACAGUGACUUUCUGGAAGCCCCGGAAAGGCCUUCACAUAUUAUCUCGUGAUCCCGCGUAGUUGACGGUGCCGUUAAGAAGAAACAUUUAUUCAUGUCUCUUGGCCGUUGUGGGAGCUCUGGGAGGAGGGCACGCAAAGCUUCACAUGUGCCAGCUCUCCAGGAUGGUGCGACGAGUAGACUGAGUGGCGGUAAAUACUUUUUACUCCCGUGAACCGGUUUUUUGGCGCUUUAACUUUACUCUGGCACGAGGACCAGCCCGAUAGCCGGGACGUCCGAGGUAACGUUUCCUCUUAGGAAGCAAGCAAGCAUGUCCACGUGAGGCCUGAGAGGAGGUCCGUUCGCCCAGCUGACGUGCUGAUCACAGAGCCCUGGCGAGGCGGGGGGACAGGGUGCCUCCCUGCCAGGUGCGCCAAGGCCUCUCCCCCUCAGUGGGAGGCGGGAGAGACUGGCCAGCGCCCGGAUGGUCCCAGGCAGUGACGGCGGGUCGGGACUGGCGUCCAUGAUCUGGUGGCUUCGGGAAGAGGCUUUGAGCGCUUUCUUUUGUGACUAUGACGGUCUGAGUCCUUCCUGUGACCUGCCAUUUGACUUCAAAUAAGGCUGGCAGUCAAGAUAAAUAAAAGAGCUCCCGGCUCCCACGGCGCUAUUAGAUGAACCCGUGCCUGGCCGUAGGUGGCGUGGAGCGCCCAGGGUAGUUUCCUGGGGCGCGUGGUCCAGAGCAGGCAGGAGGAAGGACACUGCGCGCAUCCUGGGCCUUCGUCUCCCAUCUCCGGCUCUGUCCCCGGCUCUUGCGUGCCGUCUUCCUGGACUAACCAGUUACGGGUGCUCGUCUGCCCCCUUCAUUUUCACUGUGUGCCAAGGGCUGGCUGCACCACAGAAUCAACCGUCUUAGGGGACGUUUUUUACAAAUUCUCUCUGAAUUAAAAUUCCCGUCCGUUGAUGAAGGUGGAGAGGGAGUUUCCUAACCCAUCAGUGCAUUUCGACCCGAGUAUAAUCUUUGGAACUUGUGUGCUUCGUUGGCGUUUUCCUCUCUGAGGACCAACAGGGAACAUAGUCACCUCAGAUUCAUGUUUGGCCCCGGCCUUUCACUUGGGUGUCUUCCGGGGACACAGAGGCAGCAGGCGUGAGCUUGUCCCAACGCCCCUGCGGAGCGGGGUCAGGUCUGAAGGCCGCAGUCAGGCUGCAGUCGAAGCUGACCUAUAGCUUUGGCACAAGGACCAUGGUGACCCCAGAAGGCCAUUGCCCACAAAAUGUGGGUGGGGGUGUCACUGGGGAGCAGGUGCUUGUGACCCGAGGGCUUUUAAGGAGGUGCGUGGGACUGUGGACUGAACCUGGAAGGUGGAGGAGGCUCCCAAGGCCACCACAACCACGGGCCACAGACCUGGUGGCCGACCGCCGCGGGACGUGGCUCUCUCGUGGUCGGGAAGGUAGACGUCUGAGACGUGUCAGCAGGGCUGGUCCCUUCUGGAGGCUCUGGGGGGACAUGUCCCCAGCCCGCUCCUGGCCCUGGAGGCUGCUGCCCACCACUGCCCCUACCCGGCCAGGCAGCCCUGGCCUCCUCUGGGGGCUGUGUCUUCCUUGUCUUGUAAGGACACGGGUGAUUGGAUUUAGGGCCCAAGUGGAUAAUCCAGGAUGAUCUCAAGGUUCUUACCUUAAUUACACCCGCAGAGACCCUCGUCCCAGGUAAGGUCUUGCCCUGACGUUCCAGGUGGACUUUUCUCUGCGGAGAGGCGCUGUGCAGCCCUUCAGCCCACGACGGACGGCAAGUAGGAUUUCAGGGGGCCACGCGGGACAGGAGAGGGCACGGCGUGCGUGGAGCAGAGUGGGACACUGGACACGUUCCACGUUCAGAAGCUUCCUUUGCAGAGGAAGUGUGAGGGGAUCCUGGGGUGUGAAAUUCCUGGCUGUGGAGAGGUGGCUGUGAGUGUGAGUGACGUGGGUGUGCUGGAAGUGAGGCCUGGGCAGGGGCGGGGGAAUCAGAUCUGCUUCUAGAGACACACUUACCGCCCGCUUUCCUCCUUAGUGUGUGGGAUUCUUUGCCUGUCAGUGUCAACGUGGCGUUUCCCAGAUUGUUAACCUUCACAGACAAAACGCGUUAACACACAGGCUCCUGGUCCCGGUAGUGCUCGUCGGUUGCUCCCUUGCUCGGCAGUGCUGGGCGAUGUCCUAUUCCGUGGACGGGCUGCUUUCCUGGACCCGUGAUCGCUGCCAGGAGACCCCCGCAGCUCUGCCCCUCUCUCCCCCGGGACAGGCGAGGUUAACCGGGAUGGGCACUGCCAUGCCUUCUAACCCCAUUACCGUCUGAAUAUUGAGAGUUUGAACCUGUCUCCUCAAGAACAGUCGUAACUUACUCCAAACAACCUGUUUUUGUUUUUGUGUUGGCCGUGCCCACAGCAUGUGGACGUUCCCCGGGCCAGGGAUCAAACCUGAGCCACAGCUGUGACCAUGCCAGGUCCUCAACUGCCAAGCCACCAGGAACUCCCAUCCUGUUCGUGUUGAGUGGCGUUGUUCUUCUGGGUUUUUUCUUUUGGUGUAACUCCAAAUUCCUCGUACUUUCUGUUUCAAUGCAUUUCUUCCAUCCUACAAUUUGAGACUUUAUCAUAAGGUGAAUAAUAAAGUGGUGCCACCUAAUCAGAAAGUUUAUACUAAAUAUGGAGAAGCCAAUGACAUUUUAUAAUAUUUUACUUUCUUUUCCUAACUUGAACCGCUGAUACUCUUGUUAUGGACGUUACUGCAUCAGGGAUAAUCUAACCUUUAUUACAAACCAGACGCAUGUUACUCCCGUUUGUUUUACAUGUUUGGCGUUUUGCUUUGGUCAGGCUUCCUACAAUUUAAAAAUAAUAGUGAAAAAAAAAAAAUGGAGUUCCCGUCGUGGCGCAGUGGUUAAUGAAUCCGACUAGGAACCAUGAGGUUGCGGGUU